AACGAAAACAAAAUGGAGAUGAUCAUCAUCAUUCCCUCCUGGCCUCCCUGACACUUAAACGUUUUGAAUGAAAGCAUUUUCUAUGUUUUCCAAAUUCUUUGAAAAGGGUUUUCAAUAUAUUCAUUUGGGAAUCAUAGGAAUUGCAUCCAUUCCAAAUUUUUUAGUCAGUGAAUCAGGAACUUGAUGUUCAACCCCAAGGGUAUUAGCCACAUGGGGUUGAAAUUUGCAAGGCCAGGGCCGGGAAAGAAUGGAAAUGCCACUCUUCUCCUCCAGCAUAGAAUGCUCGCUUAUCUUACAGCAACUUCUUUUAUUCGGAACCUGGUGUCCAAGAAAAGAAGGCGAAUGGUUGUUGGUGGUUAUGAUCUGGAUAUGUCAUACAUAACAGAUCGUCUAUUAGCAAUGUCAUUUCCUGCUGAACGUAUGCGAGCAAUGUAUCGUAAUCCUCUCUGGCAGGUGAAGUCUGUGCUAGAAAUGAGACACCAGGGGCAUUAUAAGAUCUACAAUUUGUGUAUAGAAGAAGACUAUGAUCCAUUACAUUUUCAUGGCCGUGUGGAGAAGUUUCCUUUUGAUGACAAUCAUGUUCCAUCUCUCCAAAUGAUGAAGUUGUUCUGUGAGAGUGUGCAUUCAUGGCUAUCAAAUGACCCAAAAAAUAUUGCAGUUAUACAUUGCAUGGCUGGCAAAGGUCGAACAGGAUUAAUGGUGUGUGCCUACCUUGUUUACAGUGGCAUGUUAGCAGAGGAAGCUCUUCAGCUAUAUGCCCAAAAACGGACUACCAACAAUGAAGGAGUCUCUAUACCAAGCCAACGUCGUUAUGUGGGGUAUUGGGAAAAUAUACUUUCAUUUCCAAGGGGAGUUAGAAAUGGACUUCCAGAUGUCAACUUGCCUCCACCAUGUGGUAGAGAAUUGCGACGAAUUCGUCUUUAUGACACCAUUGCCACAACCUCUGUCUUCUUUGUGGUCUCAGAGCUCCAAGAGAUUCCUAGUCAGAUGUACUGUCCACCUGUUGAAGUUGCCAAGAGUUGCUGUAGAGAAAUCAAUAAAGGAUAUGAGGUUAACAGCAGUCCUCGGUACUUCUUGUCAUUUAUUGAAGGUGAAGAAGAAGGGAACACAUCAGAAUCAGAAGAACCUCGUGUCGUAGUCCAAAUGGACACAGAAAGUCCUGUAUUAUACCAGAAGACCUGUCUUGACUAUCAUUUCAGUAAACCUGUGCAAGUUAGCGGAGAUGUGCGAGUUAUAUUCUAUCAAAAGAUGAUUGGGGGUCGUCUUUUUUAUGCUUGUUUCAAUACAGCCUUCAUAAAAAACAGCUUGCUACAGUUUACUAUCCGGGAUUUGGACAAAGUUGGGAGCACAGGUAGAUCAAUAUGUGGCCCUGCCUUCUGCAUGGAGUUGCUAUUUGGUCCUGCUAAUCCUAAGCAUUCCGUGUCAUGUUCAUCUGAUUACGACAACUAAAGUCAAUAUCUGUUUAAGAAACGAUACGAUGCACCUUGUUUGUUUGAUUUUUCUGGCAAAAUGGUCCAUUUGAUGAAGUUAUGGAUCAAGUGAUACAGCAGCUUACACGCUGAGCGAUUCUGUAAUCUUGCCUUUGGGUGAUAUGUCAAAUUGCAUCUGUAUCAUCUAUCUCCAAGGAUCUAGCUCUGGACUUGGUGCUCCUCUUUUAAAUUGUGGUGUCCAUUGCUCUGCAUCGCUUAAGAGUUUUUAUAUUGAAUUGAGAGAUAUAGCUCUAAUCAGAACCUUAAUUAGGAACUUCCAAGUAGAAUGUAUCCUAGUAGACGAGAGAAGUGUAGUUGAACUGCUUACAUAUGAAGCAUUUCUAAAAAUGGGUGAUGGCCCAAACAACCUUAAUCUUGCAAACCAAUCUACAGGUUUGCGAACCAACCCUCUCAGUUAAGGGUAUCAUCAGUCUACCAGUCACCAUAGGCCAAGAAAACACACACU